UACGUAGGGUGCAAGCGUUAAUCGGAAUUACUGGGCGUAAAGCGUGCGCAGGCGGUGCUGUAAGACAGGCGUGAAAUCCCCGGGCUUAACCUGGGAAUGGCGCUUGUGACUGCAGUGCUGGAGUACGGCAGAGGGGGAUGGAAUUCCGCGUGUAGCAGUGAAAUGCGUAGAUAUGCGGAGGAACACCAAUGGCGAAGGCAAUCCCCUGGGCCUGUACUGACGCUCAUGCACGAAAGCGUGGGGAGCAAACAGG
rnacentral:rRNA from 1 species